GGGAGGGCUGGGGGCUCCCCUGCAGCGUCACGGGGAGAGAAACAGGGCCACAGAGGGCAGAGGGUCAUAGAGGGCAGAGGGCCAGGCGCACGGGGCAGGGACCUCUGUGCUGAGAGGAAGUGGGGGAAGCCACAGUGAGGAGGAAGGAGUCGCUCUGCCUUCUACGGGCAAAGGGGCGCCUGAUCUCCUGAGGUGGCGCAGGGGUGAGCUCCCUGCCCGUGGAACUCACAUCCUGGGGGAUCCUGAGGAGAAGCAAGCAGUCAAAGGAGUCGCCACCCAAGUGUCAGCCGGGCGCGGGCCAUGCUGGGGACCGCCAGCCCUUCCAAGGCAGGCACCCUGACCCCCUCACAGCCACGCUGACCCGAGACGCUGCCCUCCCCUCCCUCGGGCAUGCUCUCGGCUGGGCCCUCACCUCCAAGCCCUCUUCCCUGUCGGCCACGGUCCCUCACAUCUGGGGAUGCAGCCCUGAAGCCCACAUCCUCAUCCCUGCCACCCGUGAGAGUGGGACUUCACGUGGCAAACGGACUUUGCAGGUGUAAAGACCUGAAGAUGGGGAGAUGAUCUUGGAUGGGGGGCCCGAGGAGAUCACGAGAGUCCUUAUAGCAGGCAGGCAGGGGGUCAGAGCAGAGAGGGGCGGUGACGGCUGACGUGGAGGGGACAGAAGACCCAGGGCCGCUGGCUUUGAGGAUGGCGAAUGGGCCACGAGCCAAGGGUUCCUGUGACCCCCAGAAGCUGGAAAAGGCAGGGAAAUGACUCCCCGGGGGCCUCGGGAAGGAACCAGCCCUGUCCACACCCGGCCUUCACCCGGUGAGACCCGGGUCAUGUUCCUGACCUCCAGACCCAAUGGUGAUAACGGUAGCAGCUUCCAGCGGCUUCAAGGCAGGGAGUCUGCAGUGAGUUGUUGCAGGGGGAGCAGGAAUCUCAUACGGGACGCGGACCAGGACGCGGACCAACCAGGACGCGGACCAACGGCUCUCACUGCAGGCUGCUGCUCCCACGCGGCCUCACUGACGGCAGCAGAACAAGCAUCCGCUUUGCAGAUCCAUGCUGUGAGCUGCUCGGCGCUGUUCUAAUUAAGCCUUGUGACGGAUGAAUCUCGAUAAAGCAGCUGUUCUGGAGUGCUCAGAGCCUGCUUUUCCCAGGGGAGCCUGUGCCCAGCCCAGGACACGACUUGGGAUUGGUCUAAGCCAAUCAGAGAAAUCUCUUCCCCAUGCUAUCGACUGGCCCAGAGUAGCAAUGCGACCUUGGUCAGACCCAGCCUGGAGAGUAUGAUGAGUGGCUUCUG
rnacentral:lncRNA from 1 species